GACGAACGCUGGCGGCGUGCCUAAUACAUGCAAGUAGAACGCUGAAGAGAGGAGCUUGCUCUUCUUGGAUGAGUUGUGAACGGGUGAGUAACGCGUAGGUAACCCGCCUUGUAGCGGGGGAUAACUAUUGGAAACGAUAGCUAAUACCGCAUAACAAUGGAUGACACAUGUCAUUUAUUUGAAAGGGGCAAUUGCUCCACUACAAGAUGGACCUGCGUUGUAUUAGCUAGUAGGUGAGGUAACGGCUCACCUAGGCGACGAUACAUAGCCGACCUGAGAGGGUGAUCGGCCACACUGGGACUGAGACACGGCCCAGACUCCUACGGGAGGCAGCAGUAGGGAAUCUUCGGCAAUGGGGGCAACCCUGACCGAGCAACGCCGCGUGAGUGAAGAAGGUUUUCGGAUCGUAAAGCUCUGUUGUAAGUCAAGAACGAGUGUGAGAGUGGAAAGUUCACACUGUGACGGUAGCUUACCAGAAAGGGACGGCUAACUACGUGCCAGCAGCCGCGGUAAUACGUAGGUCCCGAGCGUUGUCCGGAUUUAUUGGGCGUAAAGCGAGCGCAGGCGGUUUGAUAAGUCUGAAGUUAAAGGCUGUGGCUCAACCAUAGUUUGCUUUGGAAACUGUCAAACUUGAGUGCAGAAGGGGAGAGUGGAAUUCCAUGUGUAGCGGUGAAAUGCGUAGAUAUAUGGAGGAACACCGGUGGCGAAAGCGGCUCUCUGGUCUGUAACUGACGCUGAGGCUCGAAAGCGUGGGGAGCGAACAGGAUUAGAUACCCUGGUAGUCCACGCCGUAAACGAUGAGUGCUAGGUGUUGGAUCCUUUCCGGGAUUCAGUGCCGCAGCUAACGCAUUAAGCACUCCGCCUGGGGAGUACGACCGCAAGGUUGAAACUCAAAGGAAUUGACGGGGGCCCGCACAAGCGGUGGAGCAUGUGGUUUAAUUCGAAGCAACGCGAAGAACCUUACCAGGUCUUGACAUCCCGAUGCUAUUUCUAGAGAUAGAAAGUUACUCCGGUACAUCGGUGACAGGUGGUGCAUGGUUGUCGUCAGCUCGUGUCGUGAGAUGUUGGGUUAAGUCCCGCAACGAGCGCAACCCCUAUUGUUAGUUGCCAUCAUUCAGUUGGGCACUCUAGCGAGACUGCCGGUAAUAAACCGGAGGAAGGUGGGGAUGACGUCAAAUCAUCAUGCCCCUUAUGACCUGGGCUACACACGUGCUACAAUGGUUGGUACAACGAGUUGCAAGUCGGUGACGGCAAGCUAAUCUCUUAAAGCCAAUCUCAGUUCGGAUUGUAGGCUGCAACUCGCCUACAUGAAGUCGGAAUCGCUAGUAAUCGCGGAUCAGCACGCCGCGGUGAAUACGUUCCCGGGCCU
rnacentral:rRNA from 1 species